rnacentral:rRNA from 1 species
AAGUUCUUUGGAACUGGACGUCACAGAGGGUGAGAAUCCCGUGCCUGGAUGGCUGUCCAGCUCCAUGUGAGGUGUCUCCGACGAGUCGAGUUGUUUGGGAAUGCAGCUCAAAAUGGGUGGUAAAUUUCAUCUAAAGCUAAAUACUGGCGAGAGACCGAUAGCGCACAAGUAGAGUGAUCGAAAGAUGAAAAGCACUUUGAAAAGAGAGUUAAAAAGUACGUGAAAUUGUUGAAAGGGAAGCGCUUGAGACCAGACUCAACCUUCGGUGAUCAGCUGUGCUUUUGUGCAGUGCACUUGCCGUGGGUUGGGCCAGCAUCGGUUUCGACGGUGGGAUAAAGGUUCGAGGAAUGUGGCUCCCCGAUUUCGGGGAGUGUUAUAGCCCUGAGCGCAAUGCCACCUGUUGGGACCGAGGACCGCGCUUCCGCUAGGAUGCUGGCGCAAUGGUCUUAAGCGGCCCGUCUUGAAACACGGACCAAGGAGUCUAACAUCUAUGCGAGUGUUCGGGUGGAAAACCCUUGCGCGUAAUGAAAGUGAACGGAGGUGGGAACCCUUUGGGGUGCACCAUCGACCGAUCCUGAUGUCUUCGGAAGGAUUUGAGUAGGAGCAUAGCUGUUGGGACCCGAAAGAUGGUGAACUAUGCCUGAAUAGGGUGAAGCCAGAGGAAACUCUGG